UACAGAGGGGGCAAGCGUUAUUCGGAAUUAUUGGGCGUAAAGCGUCCGCAGGUGGAUAUACAAGUCUGCUGUCAAAGUGCAGAGCUUAACUCUGUAAAGGCGGUGGAAACUGUAGGUCUUGAGUAUGGUAGGGGUAGAGGGAAUUCCCGGUGUAGCGGUGAAAUGCGUAGAUAUCGGGAAGAACACCAGUGGCGAAAGCGCUCUACUGGGCCAUAACUGACACUGAGGGACGAAAGCUAGGGGAGCGAAAGGG
rnacentral:rRNA from 1 species